rnacentral:misc_RNA from 1 species
GAUGAAGAACGCAGUGAAAUGCGAUAAGUAAUGCGAAUUGCAGAAUUUCCGUGAGUCAUCGAAUCUUUGAACGCACAUUGCGCCCUUUGGUAUUCCUUAGGGCAUGCCUGUUCGAGCGUCACUACACACCUUAUCACAAUAUUUGUGGUCUUGGCAGGAGUGAAUUGCUGGUCUAUGGAAGUAUUCCAGCAGUACACAAUGCUAAAAAAUAUGGGAAGGUUACCAGAUAUGAACAACAGACUUUGUAAAUGGUUGUAGGACCUAGAUCAGUCACAAGUCAUGUCUGGUCCCUUACCUUAAGGACCCCCAUCCUAGAUGAACUAUGGGUUGACCUCGGAUCAGGUAGGAAUACCCGCUGAACUUAAGCAUAUCAAUAAGCGGAGGA